UUAACUGUUACUUAUUCCACUAAUUUCUAUCUUUUGUUAAAAGAACUUUCCAGCCUAAAUCUCCUCGCUCUGUCCCAUGCUAAUUGCAGCUUACAUUAUAUAAAUGGCUUUGUAAAGAAAACUAUAACUCUGAGCCCUGAAAGUUGCGUGUUUCUAUUUGCUCAAACUUGAUGCACUUGUUUGAAGAGGGUCAUUGCAGGGAGAGCUGUGUAGCGUGUAAGAAUGUCCUGGAUAACAAGCUUAAACAGAACCUUUUGUUGUGCCUAGUAUUCUCAGGACUCCAAAAUGAGGCCUCCUUUUUCUAACUGCGGGCUGAAGUGGUUCAUUACUGCUGUUUCCUCCGCCCGGCCAGGGCUCAGCCAUUCCCACUACUGAAGGUCUGUAACUUCCUUAAAAAGGAAGAAGGAAAACAUGGCCCAGAAAGGUCUUGUUAGCACUUCCUAUGUGAAAUUAGCAGCUUUCUAAAAGGUACAACUCCAAUUACCUCACAUUGUGGAGGCGAGCACAAACUCCAGUCUGCACAGCCCAGCCAGUGACAUUCUGUCUUUCUGGAGUUACUUCCCUAAUUAGGAAUGAAGAAGCUCUAUUCUGCUGAGUGCAUCUAUUUACAGUGGCCACAAUGCUUUAACUUGAGCAUCCUUCUCAAAGACCAGUGUUAAAAAACACAAGUGCUCUUUUCGCAGAGCAGGCAAUGGUGAGGCGACACAUUCCUAACGGUUACGCCCUGGGGGGGGGGGGGGGGAGUGUCGCAGCUUUAGCAGGAUUGUUAACACUUCAGGGUUCAUUUUCCACAAUGACGCCCCUGCCCAGAGAGCUCUGGGAAUGACAGUGGACAAUGGGGAGGCCUUCUUAGGAGGGUCUAAUGAUGGAAUCAAAAGAAAAAUAUUUAUUGCUUUUGACAGUCCCACAAGGGGCACAAAUCCUUGUCGUGGCUAAAGUUCCCCUAGCUGUUGCAGGAAGGCGACUCCCAGGGACUCAAACAGUCCCACUUCCUUUGUUAGGAGGCUGAGUACCAGGGCCAAGCUGGGAAAUUAAAGAUUAAGUUCAUUAAGAACUUACGGAUGGAGUGCCAGGCAACGCCAGUGUGAAGCACGUUCACUAGAGAAAAAAGAACAAGGCAGCACGGUUGAACAUCACUGAAACUGACCCCCGAAUUCACCAGCAGUUCACGGCAGCAGCGUACAUACCUGGCAACCUAAGAGGACACCUUCUGGGAUUGCAACCAUGACGCACCCCACCCAGGUGCCAAGGGCCUGCAGCGUUGGGGUCACCUGGUUAUGUGUCGGCUGCUCCUCAUUACCUCCCACUGUGGACUCCUGGACACAGAGGCCUCAUUCUACUCACUGCUGCAUGCCCACCAUCUACGACAUUGCAGGGACGCUGGAGGGGCACAACACUGUUGAGUAACGCUUGCCCAGGAGAAGUUUUAUUCUCUGCAUCUGUCCUUCCAAACGUCUUGUGCUUUCCCUUCUCUGACUCUCCAGUCAGUGGCAGCUGCCUCCUGUCUCCAGGGCUUAACUCCCCUGGCAUAGCGUUCUUCUCCCCUGCCCCCCAAGACCCCGACGAAUCCAGAUGCUUGAGACAGCCAAGACUGAGAUGGAGUGAAGUCUCUGGAAGGCUCCUGUCGCAGCCUUGCUCACCGGCAGAACAGGAAGAGAUGUGGCCAGUGGCUCUCAGCACCCACUCUUCUUUCUUCUUUUGCCAUUUGGAUUCCUUUGCAGAGUAAGAGUCUCAGGCGUGUGGCUUUCCUCGCAGGUGGUUAGAACUGAUGGGCACUGCAGAAAAUCCAAGUGCAAGCGAGGUGAAGCCCCAAGGUCCUGCCGCCGGGGACCUUCUGUAAAAGGCGGAUGACGCCUGCCCUCCAAGUAGCCGCUUAACCACAAGAUGACCUCGACAAGGCCGGGUAAGUCUGCGGUCUGGUUACCGUGCUGCAGACCAAGGCUCGCUAAUCUUGUUAGUCCCUUCCUGGGUAACAGUGCAGGGUUCGGGGCCUGUCAGCCCCCUCCAGGAAAUCCCGCUAAGCCUGGGAUUUGAGAUCCUUAACUCAGAUGUCUUAAGCAGAGAAAUAUCCACCUUUGCGUCUGUCUCUAAAAAUUUGAUGGAUAUUUGUACUGCUGCUGUGAAUACAGGAACCAAGAGAAGUUUCCCGUCAGAUCAGGUGAACCUGGGUAAAGACUGCAGGUCUCUUAAGUUCCCGGGGCCUGUUUUCUCACCUGAUGUUGGGAUGCUAGUAAUGACCCUGCCCGCAGGAAACGGGGUGUGGGGAGAAGGGCUGUGAUGGGGAUAAAACUCUGCCCGCAAACAUUAAUGCACCCUUGGUAUGUAGACAAGCAUGAGGAAGAAGUGGUCCCUGCCUGCCCAGGGGGCUUGCGACCUCAUGGACGUCUCGUAAGUGCUACCAAGGAACUCUGCGUGGUGGAGUGCUCUGCACAGUCGAGGAAUGGAGGUGUCAUUGAAAGCAGGUGCUGGGAAACUGAUAUUGUCCUUGACCGCCGCACCAGGUGAACUAAAUCCAGACGAGGAGACUGAAGUGGCUUCCUUUAGCUAUCUUCAUAACAUCAUUCAAAAUAGGAAGCGUUUAAUAUUCCCUAACUGUCUGAAGAAUCUGCAAGCCCGUGCUGGCAUGUUCGCAUCACAUGUCUCUAACUCUCCUCUGGUCUACAAGGAGCCCUGCGGUUGAAAGUGUCAGUAACAGUAAGUGACACCAUUGUGUCCACUUCACAGUCGGGCCAUCUGAGGCCAGGGGUGAAGGAAAGGUGGUAGCCUGGGAAGGGAGGCCCAGAGGGAAAUCCUCACUUUCCAGGCCAGCACUCUGCCUCACAAGACGACAUCCUCUCUUUGCACUCCUCCUUUCAAUCUGCAGAGAUGAGAAAGGCCCAUAGCUCUAUUAAUUUGCUGUUAUUUUGCAUUUGCUCCUCCCUCUUCUUUACUCUGCUUUUUCUUUUUUCUUUCUUUUUUAAAUAUUUUUUUAUUUGAAAGGUAGAGUUACAGAGAGAGAGAAGGAGAGGCAGAGAGAGAGAGGUCUUCCAUCCGCUGGUUCACUCCCCAACUGGCCGCGAUGGCUGGAGCUGCACCAAUCUGAAGCCAGGAGCCAGGAGCUUCUUCCAGUCUCCCACAUGGGUGCAGGGACCCAAGGAUUUGGGCCAUCUUCUACUGCCUUCCCAGGCCACAGCAGAGAUCUGGGGAGCAGCUGGGACUCGAACCGGUGCCCAUAUGGAAUGCCAGCACACACAGGCAGCUUGACCCGCUCUGCCACAGCACCAGCCCCUCUGCUUUUUCUUGACAUUCAGGCAACUCCUUCAUAUUCAGGUCUCAGCCCAGACGUCAGCUGCUCAGAGAGCCUUUGUUGGCUCUGGAGCCUCCCCAGUUCCUCUCUGUCAAAUCAUUCUGUUUCGUUGUCUCCAUAGCACCUGCUGCCACCUACAGUUAUCUAGACCGUCUGUGUGUGUUGUCAUCUUCUCCCAUUAAAAUGCAACCUCCCUGGGAAGACGACUUGGCCUCAUUCGCUGUUGUAUACACUGUGCCUAGAACUGCAACUGGCACAUAGUAGGUGCUCAAUAAAAGUGUGUUGGGCUCUUGGAGAUCUGUGUCUCUGGCUGAUGGGAAGGCUGAUGGAGAGAAGGGAAAUGUGUGUUCCAGCUCCCACAGCGAGGCAAGCCAGCUGCCGGCUGCGGACCUCAGCUCUCUUGCCUGUAAAAUCGGACACCUGCGCCCACGAGAGGAUCCGAGAAAAGAGGUGCUGAGGACCAAACGAGAAGAUAGUGGCAAAAGUACUUUGACAAGUGAAAAUGCGAGUUAAGUGGGAGAUGUUAUUAUCUUCUGCCAUCUGCUUGACUUUAAUCUUUUUUUCCUCGGUAAGCGGACCUAUUGAUUGUAGCUUGCUGGAGGAAGCUCUCACUGUCUAAUUACUGCCCUGGCUCAGCCUGUCACAGUGUCCUCUGCAGUCAGCACGUCCUGACACUGACCCCUCAUGCCACAGCCAUUUGCAGAGCAGCCACCCGGGCACUCUGUGCCCAGCACAAGGGGAGCAGGGCUCCGGGGCUGCAGGAGGGCACUGCUGGGGAGAAGCCGAGGCUCAGGCACAGUGGCGGCAGUGCGUUGGCCCCUGCGGCCAGUGUCCCCCGGCUGGACAGUGUUUUUAGCAUUUCAGACUGCGGUUCCCAGGAGAGCGAUCCUGCAGGUGUUUUCUGGCCUGUGAUGUGAUGGGGGAGGGAGAAGAGGUUGUGAAGAAGUCAUUCCUAAGCGUUUGCCAGGCACUACGAAUUCCUUUCCCCAGGAGCUGGGAAGCUUCAGCAUGUCCAGGGUAUUGUUCUCCGCGUUGCCUCACAAGACCUCACAGCCUCCCUGGGAGCACUGCCCCUUUCUACGAGAGGAGGACGUAUGGUCGUUUAGAGCUGAGGACGGUGACUUGUGCAAGGGAAUUCGAACCCACGUCCCCUACCUCUCAGUCUACACUGGCAGCCUCCCUCCUCACAGGGCUGGCCCAAGCCAGGCCACAUAUAGCUUGAAUUGAAAAUGCUCUUUGGCAAAAAAAAUUCCCAGAAGGCAUCAGGACUUUUAAAAGUAUCUCAAAGGGACAAAUGCAGGCCCGUGUUUGGCACAGUGGUUGAACCACCUCUUGGACACCCACAUCCCAUCUCAGAGUACCUGGUUCAAGUCCUGGCUGCUCCACUUCUGAUCCAGGUUCCUGCUAAUGUGCACCCUGGGAGGCAGCAAGUGGUGGCUCAAGUCAGUGGGUCCCUGCCACCCAGGUGGAGACCUGGCCCAGCUCUGGCUCUUCAUUCCCAAUUUGCUUACAAGAUUUCUCUCUCUUUCAAAUAAAAGUAAAAAUAAAUAAAUAAAAUUUUGAAGCAAAAUAAAAAAGGAAUACUUUUUUGGCCAGCAAAGGAAAUGAGAGUGUGCUUGAAAAUGCAUUUCCAUUUAUGUCUGUCAUUUAGAAGGAAGAAAAAGGAUCCAUCAGCAUCAUCUGAUUAGAUGAGGCUUUUUAAAAAUUAUUAAAUAAACCAGUUUUGUCUUGGCUUCAACCUGCCAGGGAAUAAUUGGAUCAGGCAACCCCUAGGCUAUGAAACUGCCAAAGAGAAGUUGGUUGGCAAAAGCUUGUUGAACGAAUAGAUGAAUGUCAGCCUGGCUUGUAAACACCCUGUUCUCACUUUCUUCACUCAUCAUAAUGAAGAUCAUUGGCCACAGAGUCAUAAAAUUCUCUAAUGUUGGUAUGCUGCUUUGCUUUUUAGCUUGAAAGAUCUUUCUUGGCAGAAUCUCAAGUGAUCCUCAAAUAACCCUCAGAAGCACGCAGUUGUGUAGGGGAGGAGACUGGGGGAUCAAUUGAUUGCCCAGGUUCAGAUGAAACAGUGUUGGGUGUGUUUUGUAACAUUCUGAUGAUUUUUUAGAAAGAAACAAAGGAAUAUUCAGAAUCCAAAAUCAGAUGAAAAUGAAAAUCCAAAGAAAGAACUGGAGCGCUAAAUUUGGCCUUGGCCUUGAGGUAUUUGCCAAGUCAGACAAACUUUGGUUUCAGUUUUCGUGAUUCACAGGCCAGAGGAAAAGGAGAAAGACCCUAGAGCUUACCCAAGGUAGAGAUACAGUAGAAAUCCCUAUGCAUGAAGCUGGCAUCCAAAAUUACUGUGACAUCAGUGUAAAGGUGAGUGAGAAAUAAAACAGAUUCCAUUCUAACUACAAGUACAAGCACAUGCAUCCAACUUGGACACUAAACAGAAGGGGAGAAUUAUGCCGAGAGCUUGUAAUCAUAAACCAGCCCUUCAUGGGUUUGCACCUUAAUUUCAUACUCCCUGAGGAGGGAGGGCGUCCAAGAACCCUCAAAUUAAACAUUUGAGAAAGUGAAUCUGAAUUAACAGUGGCCCCAGGGACUUAAAGAAUAAGAAGAUAUCUCUGUGAAGGAACUUAAAGCCAAAUGUCAAAGAAUUCCCAUAGAUAAACUUGAAAAGAUGUAAACUCACGGGCCAGUGCCAUGGCAUAGCAGGUAAAGCUGCCGCCUGUGGUGCUAACAUCCCGUAUGGGAACCUGUUCAAGUCCUGGCUGCUCCAUUCUGAUCCAGCUCUCUGCUAUGGCCUGGGAGAGCAGUGGAGGAUGGCCCAAGGGUUUGGACCCCUGCGUGGGAGACCCAGAGGAAUCUCCUGUCUCCUGGCUUUGGAUCGACGCAGUUCCGACCAUUGCAGCCAUCUGAGGAGUGAACCGGCAGUUGGAAGACCUCUCUCUCUGUCUCUCUCUCUCUAUCUAUCUUUCUUCCUAUCUAUCUAUCUAUCUAUCUAUCUAUCUACCUACCUACCUAUCUAUCUCUGCCUCUACCUCUGCCUCUCUGUAGCUCUGCCUUUCAAAUAAAUAAAACAAUCUUUUAGAAAAAUACAUCUGAGGAAAUAAAGAAAAACAUUAAAAGAAGACAAAGAAGUAACAAACUAGAGAAAUGCCCAAGCAGAUUGGAAAAGGAUUGAAGAAGAACUUUUCAUCAGUAACAAAAUAUAUGUAAUCACUGAAUGAAAAACUAUACCUGGCUUCAACAGGUUACACAUUGCUGAAAGUACAGUGACCUAGAAUGUAGAUCUGAAAAACAUAUCCAGAAUGCAUCUCAGAAAGACAAAGAGAAGAAAAAGUAGAAGAAAUGCUAAGAGACAGGUAGGGAAAGGUGAACAUGUCUUCCUUGAGUCCCAGGUGAAUUAUAGCAAACGGGAGAAGCAGAGAGCAGGAGCAGUAUUUGAAAAACAAGAAUUUUCCACAGAUUCCCAAAGCUCCCCAAAUCAAGAAGGACAAAUAAAAGAUAAAACUAGAUGGCAGAGUAGGCCCAUGGCUAGUAUGACCUACAGAGAUAUUUGGGACCCCAGCUUUGUUCUAAUUCUGUAUCACAGGUUUAGGACCACGUGAGGCGUGUUUAGUGAGGAUCAUGUUCAUGCACAAGAAAACUAUAUUACAUUCUACUGCACUAGACAUCCAUUCUACAUGUUGUGCCAAAGACUAUAGCUAUGAUCAGUCUUAGAAGGGGAAGAUCUUUCUUAUAGAAAGUUGGAUGUGAUCCUUGUUCACUUUGGACUUGCCAUCUACAACCAAGUACAGACCGUCCCUGAUUUAUGAUGGUUUGACUUAGAACUUUUUGACUUUUCAAACAUGCAAAAGUGCUGUUCAUUCAAUAGAAACUAUACUUCAAAUUUUGAAUGUUGAUCCUGUCCCCUGCAGUAGAAUACCUUUGUGUGAUGCUGGGCGGCGCAGUAAGCCCCUGAGGCCUGUCUGUGAAGCUGUCGUAACUGUAAGCAUCGCAUACUCCACAGGGCACUGUGGGGCUCAGCGUGGAUGCUCACAAGGGUUGGUGUAUUAAAUGCAGUUUUUACUUACACUGACAGUUUAUCAAGAUGUAACCCCACUGUAAGUUUGACCAUCUGGACUCCUUUGUGGAAACUUGGUUCCAGAAGCUUUUAUCUGUCCCUCUUUGUCUCUGCUCAGUAUUCUCACAGUGCUCACUCCCACUUGUAUUACUGAGAUAAGCAAACCUCUUCUGAAUUAUCCAAGUGGUGUCCGUGUCUAGGUUUUCCAUCAGUCUGAACCUACUAUUAACGUUUACCAGUGCACUCACCCAACAUAUCACGCUGCAGAACACAAAAGACAAAGACAUAUCUAAGGAACAGUCAGAAAAAAAUAUUAUUUCCAAAGGACUAAUCAUUGGUGCAGCAACUGGUUUCCCAAAUACCAACAAUAGAAACCAGAAGAUGGUAGGGAAAAUAUAUCUUCAAUGUGCUGAAAUAAAAUACUUAGCAACCUAAAAAUCUAUGCUUAGGAAAAAAAAAUACAUCUCAAUGCAUUUUCAGACAAACUGACUUUUGUAUCAGCAGACUUUCACAAAAGACAAUUAGAAGAUUCUGAACAGAGACAGGCAUUUUAGCCUAGUGGUUAAGUUGCAGGUUAAUAUGCCCACAUCCCACGUCAGAGCACUGGGUUCAGUCCCUGGCUCCAGCUCCUGAUUUCAGCUUCCUGUUAAUGCACACCCUGGGGGGCAGUGGUGGUGACUCAAGUACCUGGGUUCCUGUCACCAAGUGAGAGACCUGAGUGACUUCCCGGCUCCUAGUUGCAGGCGCAUGGGACAUGAAUCAGCAGAUGGGAGCACUUGCACUCCCUCUGCCUUUCAAAUAAAUUUUUAAAAUAAAAUUCUGUAUUUCAGCAAUUGUGAGACACAGACAAAACAGGGCUUAGAUGGAAACUUCUAACUUUAAAUUAUCAGAGCAAAUGAGGAAAUAAAGACCAACAAUCAGUGAGACAGGCAUCUGACUUAAGAAGGUGGGCGCUAUCCCAGGUGCUUCAAGAACUAUAGAUUACGUGGCCAAGACCAAGAGCCAUCCCCUACACAGUCCUGAAGAUAGCACAGAAGUGGCACCAGGAAGCCUAUAUCUCAAAGACAUGGGUCUCUUCAGGGAGUGAACCCCAAGGUGCUGGGAGCAUGCAUUUUGCCAAGAAGCACAAGGACAUGAAGGAAAUACAGGCCAACAGUGCUGAGGCCGUGAGUGCACCAAGGUGGCCAAGGUCCUCAUCAAGGCCAAAUCACAAAGUGGGUCACCCCAAGCUCAAUCAGCCUGCCCACAUCAUCCACCCCAAGCUCAGGAAGCAUGUUCAUGUCCACAUUGCCAAGAGUCUUGGGCUCUGGUGGCCAAAGACCAAAGCCAGGUUUAAGCCAGGCCCAGGGCCUGGCUCAAGCUCUGGCUCCAGUUCUUACUGGUACCAGGCCCCUAUGAAGGAUCCAUAGUAAAGGCCUCUGUCUAGCAAUGGAAAGACAGAAGGAUGGGCGCUGUUGUCCUUCUGUGCCAUUUGUACAAAUAAACCUGAGAUGGGAGAAGGAAAGAAGGUAGGCAGGGGCCGGCUCUGUGGCAUAGCAGGUGAAGCCACCACCUACAGUGCCGGCAUCCCAUGUAGGCCCUGGUUCAAGUUCCAGCUGCUUCACUUCCAACCCAGCUCUCUGCUAUGGCCUGGGAAAGCAGUAGAUGGCCCAAGUUUUUGGAACAUUGCACCUGUGUGGGAGACCCGGAAGAAGCUCCUGACUCCUGGCUUCGGAUCAGCACAGCUCCGGCCAUUGCUGCCAUUUGGGGAGUGAACCAAUUGAUGGAAGACCUCUCUCUCUCUCUCUCUCUCUCUCUCUCUCCCUGUCUGUCUCCCUAACUCUGCCUUUAAAAUAAAUAAAUAAAUCUUUAAAAAAAAAAAAAAAAGAGAGAGAGAAGUAGAAGGUAAGCAGAGCCAAGGAUCUAACUUCAGCCUGACUCCUUGCCACAACCCAAGACAAGUAUCUGAGUGAAUUGGAUCUAGGAGCACUUAGAGUAGCAAUGAAAUGAUUAGAGACCACACAGCAAGAAAGGACCCUGUGUGUUCACGUUCCCUGAGAUUUGGGUUUUGGGAGUUGGUUUGGAAAGAUGGACAUGAGGGCAAAACUAACUUGCUCUUUCCCUAGGGGCAAAGAGCCUAGGGGUUGGGGUCUGUGUCCAGACCUCUUUCGGCCCAGUGUCCCACUCUGCUGGAGUCGGCAGAGGCCAUGGAAAUGAGCCCAAAGAGCACUCACUAAGCACAGAAUACAAAAUACAAAAACAAACAAGGUUCAGUCCCCAAGGGGUCAGGAGUUCCUUUAAAAGAGAGAGAGAUUUUAUUUUAUUUAUUUGAAAGGCAGAGUUACACAGAGAGAAGAGACAGAGUUCUUCCAUCUGCUGGUUCAUUCCCCAAAUGGCCACAAUGGCCAGCUCUGGGCCAAGCCAAAGCCAGGAGCCAAGAACUUCUUCCAGGUCUCCCACAUGGGUGCAGGGGCCCAAGCACUUGGGCCAUCCUCUGCUGCUCUCUCAGGCACAUUAGCAAGAAGCUGAAUUAGAAGUGGAGCAGCCAGGACUCGAACUGGCACCUAUAUGGGAUGCUGGCACUGCAGGCUUUUCCCACUAUGCCACAAUGCCAGCCCCUAGAGUCCCUUUUUGAGGUAAGAAUUGAACAGCCAGGGGGCUGGCGCUGUGGCAUAAUGGGUAAGGCCACUACCUGUGGUGCCUGCAUCCCAUAUGGGUACUGGUUCGAGUCCCUGCUGCUCCACUUCUGAUCCAGCUCCCUUCUAAUGCACCUAGGAAAACAGUGGAAUAUGGUCCUAGUGCUUGGGCCCCUACACCCACAUGAGAGACACGGAUGAAGCUCCUGGCUCCUGGCUCCUGGCUCCUGGCUUCAGCCUGGCCCAGCUUGGUAGCUGUGGCCAUUUGGGGAGUGAACCAAUGGAUGGAAAACACCUCUCUCACUCACUUGCUCACUCUCUCUCCCUCUCUCUAUAAUUCUGCCUUUCAAAUAAAAUAAGCAUAUCUUUAUAAAAAAAAAAAAAAAAAGAAUUGAACCGCCAGGAAGCUAACAUGUCUUCACUGCUCAGGAAAACUUCUACUUCUGGUCCCGUCUGAAGUGUGUGUAGGGGAUGGUGUUGUGGCACAGAGGGUUAAGCCUCUGCCUGCAGUGCUGGCAUCUCAGAGUGGACACCAGUUCAAGUUUUGACUGCACUGCUUCCUAUCUAGCUCCCUGCUAAUGUGCCUGGGAAGGCAGAGGAAGAAAGCCCAACUGCUUGGACCCCUGCACCCACCUGGGAGACCAGGAUGGAGUUCCAGGCUCCUGAUUUCAGGCUAGCCUAAACCAGGAGGUUACAACCAUUUAGAGAGUAAACCAGGAGAAGAAAUCUCUCUCUCUCUCUCUCUCUCUCUCUCUCUCUCUCUCCCUCUCUCUCUCAUUCUCUCUCUCCCUCU